rnacentral:misc_RNA from 1 species
UGCAAUUCCAGUAGCACGUUGCAAUAAUUAAUAAUUUAAAAAAAACAAAGUUUAUUUGUUUGUUAAUUUAUGCUAUAAAAUAAGUCAAAGUAGAUUAUAAUUUUUAAUCAUGGACGAGCAAAGUUUUCAAGUUCGUGUUAUCAAUGAAGAGAAGGGUAAAGGAGUAUUUGCGUUACGCGCUUUUAAAGAAGACGAGAUAAUUUUUGAAGAAAAACCCGUAGUUUGUUGUCAGUUUUCCUGGAACGCUGAUUAUGGUUAUCUGGCAUGUGACAAUUGCAUGUACCCGUUAGAAAAUGCCGAAGAAAAUGUACGUCGCUUAACUGGAAAAAAAAAUCUAGUUUUGCCGUAUCCAGAAUAUUGUGAAAUGAAAAAAGAAUUGUUCGCUGAAUGUCCAGAGUGUGGUAUUAAAUUUUGUAGCAAUGAAUGUUUAAAAGAAGCGUUUAGUAAGUAUCAUCGAAUUCUAUGUAGCCAAACGCGCGGAAAUAAGGAAGGUCAUCCGCUGGAAAAAUUAAAAGAAACCUGGAAGCAAAUGCAUUACCCACCUGAGACAGCUACAAUUAUGCUUUUAGCGAGGAUGAUAGCUCAUGUUAAUCAAGCUGAUGAUAAAUCCAGCGUUUUAGCUGUGUAUAAUAACUUUUGUCAUAAAACAGUGAAUGAAGUUCAUGAAAUAGCGCAUAAUUUGCUGGGAGAAAAAUUUAUUGGCCAGAUUGAUGUGUUAAGAGAAUUGCUGGAGCAAACCUUCAAUAAAGAUUAUGUUCCUCAGUGGUUUACUCCAGAAGGAUUCAGAAGUUUAUUAGCAUUAGUCGGCACAAAUGGUCAAGGAAUAGGUACGAGCGCAUUCAGCCGUUGGGUAAAGAAUGUAACUGCUCUGGAACUACCCACAGAUCGAAGGAUUCAAAUUGAUAAGUUCAUCGAUCAAAUUUAUGACGAUAUGGAUGAAGUUGUAGGAACUUUUCUUAAUAAUGAAGGAUCCGGUUUAUACGCACUUCAAUCAACUCUCAAUCAUAGCUGUUCACCAAAUGCAGUUGUUGAAUUCCCUUACUCUAAUAGUACUUUAAGGAUAAAAGCAAUCCGUGAUAUUCAGCCCGAAGAUGAAAUUUGUAUCGGAUAUUUAGAUGAAUGUGAGCUAGAGCGUAGUAGGCAUUCUCGACAGAAAUUAUUGAGUUCAUUGUAUUUGUUCGUUUGUCAGUGUGACAAAUGUAUCGCGCAAGCUGAUGAUUCUGAUGUUACUUCUGAUGAUGAUUAUGAUCAUGAUAUGUCAAGUUGAAAUAUUAAAAAAUCAUAUGUGACUUUUAUACAAAACAUCGCCGUACUUUAUAAUCUCAAGUACCAGAAGGACUUAUAAGGAUAAACACAUAUCAUACAUGGAUUCAAAGUUCAAAUUGGCAAAUUUUGGAAUAGAUAUGUGGUGCCACAUAGAGUUCGCUAGUAAUAAUGGUAAUAAUGGUAAAUGUUAAAUGGUAAAAUACAAUGUUGAAUGUAUAGAGGGUAGAGGUAAGGAGUACUGUCUCUGUGUAUGAAAAAAUGGAUAAUUUUUAAGGAGGUUCGAGCGAAUCUAAUGUGAAAAAUGAUUUCCAACUUUGACCUUUAAAAUUAAGUAUAUGUAUAAAUAAAUACGUCAUUUAUCUAAUCCCAAAAUUUUAAAAAGAUUCACCGUUUAGUUACUUGGAUAUUAAAUUUCAAAAAUCAUAUUUUUUAUCUCCUUAUACACGGGAUCUUAUGGCGGAUAAACUUUAGUCGAGACUUUAAUUAUUUUUUUCAAUAUUAACCUCUCAACUUUAACGAAUAAAACACUAUACCCAAGAAACUUGGAUUAUUAUAAAAUAUAAAAGAAAUUUAAUAAUAAUACAUUACCGAUAUAAUUUUUGAAAUAUUUAAAGUUUAAUUUUAUGU